rnacentral:rRNA from 1 species
AUUGAACGCUGGCGGCAGGCUUAACACAUGCAAGUCGAGCGAGCGGCGGCCGGGUGAGUACUGUCUGGGAAACUGCCUGAUGGCGGGGGCUAAUUCCUGGAACCGUUAGCUAAUUCCGCAUACCUUCAGUUUGCCCCCGAUGUGAUUAGCUUGUCGGUGGGGUAAUGGCUCACCUAGGCGACUACCCCUAGCUGGGCUGAGAGGAUGACCAGCCACACUGGAACUGAGACACGGUCCAGACUCCUACGGGAGGCAGCAGUGGGGAAUAUUGCACAAGGGGCGCAAGCCUGAUACAGCCAUGCCGCGUGUGUGAAGAAGGCCUUCGGGUUGUAAAGCACUUUCAGCGAGGAGGCGUGAAACGAAGAAGAAGCACCGGCUAACUCCGUGCCAGCAGCCGCGGUAAUAG